rnacentral:tRNA from 1 species
GGGGAUUUAGCUGAGGGCCUAGCGCCUGCCUGGCAAGCAUGAGGUCCUGAGUUCAAUUCCCUGUAUCCCCU